rnacentral:rRNA from 1 species
UGCGUAGGCGGAAUAUCAAGUCAGUGGUGAAAUCCUACGGCUCAACCGUAGAACUGCCAUUGAUACUGAUAUUCUUGAAUGUAGUUGAGGUAGGCGGAAUGUGUAAUGUAGCGGUGAAAUGCUUAGAUAUUACACAGAACACCGAUUGCGAAGGCAGCUUACUAAACUAUGAUUGACGCUGAGGCACGAAAGCGUGGGGAGCGAACAGGAUUAGAUACCCUGGUAGUC